rnacentral:lncRNA from 1 species
CAAAAAAGGUUUAUUGCUUUAUCUCUCUGGUGUUUAUGGUUUCACAGAAAUAAGUUGAUUCAUGAAGGGACUAAAUUCUCCAUGCCACAUCUAUUGGGGUUUAUCAGGGGCUAUGAAUGUGAUCUAGGGCUUGUUCGUGAGAAUUUAUGCGUUUCUACUGAUUUUAUGAGAAAUAAAGUUUGGAGGGCUCCUGACUAUGGUUUUGUUAAAAUUAACUUUGAUGCAUCGUUUAUUCCAGGAAAUAAUUUUGCGUACAUUGCAAUUUUAGCCAGAAAUCACAAAGCGGAAGUCAUAGAAGCAGUCACUUAUCUGGUGGAAAACGUGGAUGAUGCCUUUGUGGCAGAAGCACGAGCUUGUGAAAGAGCGCUGAUCCUUGCAAGAUUAAAGGGCUUCCGACGGUUGAUUGUGGAAGGGGAUUCUCUGACAGUUAUUAAAAAACUGACCAAAAAUGAAGAAGAUAGAUCGAUUAUUCGACCGAUUGUUCAUAAUAUUCAAAGAUUGCAUCAGGGUUUUGAUGUAGUCUCUUACCAGUUUGUGAAUCGUUCGCUUAAUGCUGCAGCCCAUGCCUUGGCAGUGGAGGGACGCCAUCGGAAAGUGUGUGGGAACUGGGUUAAUGGUUUGCCGGAGACUGUGCGUCGGGUGGUAGAGAAAGAUUGGUUACGCUGGUGCCAACGGAUCUAGGACCUUUCUGUUUCACUUUGAGUUAGAGAAGGUUC